UUAAUAAAAAUUUACUUUAAUUAAUAAUAUUAAAUAAUUUUAAAUAAAAAUAAUUUUAAAAAUUUAUGUUUUUUAUUUUGUAUAAAUUAAAUAAUUUUAGUAAUAGUAAAUUAGUAUAGUAAUAGAAAAUUUAUAUAAAUUAUAUAUUUAAAAAGUAAAAUUAAUUUUUUGUACCUUUUGUAUCAGGGUUUAUUAAAAUUAUAUUAUAAAAUUUAAUAUUCUCGAAUUUUAAAGAGUUAAUUUAUUAUAAAAGAUAUUGUUGAAUAAAUAUAUUUAAUAAUAAAUUAGUUAUGAAAUGUUAUUCGUUUUAAAAGAUAUCUAGUUUUUUAAGAAUUGAAUUUAAUUCAGUAUUUUAUUUUUAUUAAUUUAUUUUGUUAAAUUAAUAAAUAUUUAAUAUAAAAUUUUUAAGGGAUUAGCUUUAAAAAUUAAAUUAUAAAUAAAAUUUUAUUAUAAAAAAAUAAAUAAGAUUAGAAAUUUUUAUUUUUAAAUAAAAUGUUAUAAUUAAUUAUAUAUAAAAUUAAAUUUAUUAAAAUUUUAAUUAUUUAUUAAAAUAAAAUUAUAAAUUAUAAUAAUUUGUAAUAAUGAUAAAAUUAGUAUUAAUUUAUUUAAUAAUAAAAAUUAUUUAAAGAUUAAAAUAAGGAAUUCAGCAAAUUAUAAUAUUCGCCUGUUUAACAAAAACAUGUCUUUUUGAUAAUAAUUUAAAGUCUGACCUGCCCACUGAUUUAUUAUUGAAGGGCCGCAGUAUAUUGACUGUGCAAAGGUAGCAUAAUCAUUUGUCUUUUAAUUUAAGGCUAGAAUGAAUGGUUGGACGUAAUAUUAACUGUCUCAUUUUAAAAAAAUUAAAAAUUUAAUUUUUUAGUUAAAAAGCUAAAAUAAUAUUAAAGGACGAGAAGACCCUAUAGAUCUUUAUAAUUAUAUUUAUAAUAUUUAUAUAGUAAUUAAUUUAAUAUUAUAAAAUUAAUUAUUUUAUUGGGGUGAUAGAAAAAUUAAUAAAACUUUUUUUAUUUAAUAAACAUAAAUUUAUGAUUAAUAUUGAUCCAUUUUUAAUGAUUAUAAGAUUAAGAUACCUUAGGGAUAACAGCGUUAUUUUUUUAGAGAGUUCAUAUCGAUAAAAAAGAUUGCGACCUCGAUGUUGAAUUAAAGAAAUUUUUAAAUGUAGAAGUUUAAAGAAAUAGGUCUGUUCGACCUUUAAAUCUUUACAUGAUUUGAGUUCAGACCGGCGUAAGCCAGGUCGGUUUCUAUCCUUAAUUAAUUAUUAUAUUUUAGUACGAAAGGACCAAAUAUAAGAAAUAAUUUAUAUAUAUUGAAUAAUAUUAAUAU
rnacentral:rRNA from 1 species